rfam:Camelus ferus unplaced genomic scaffold scaffold688, whole genome shotgun sequence.
GAGGGUAUAGCUCAGUGGUAGAGUGCCUGCCUAGCAUGCACAAAGUCCUGGGCGCAAUCCUCAGUAGCUCCA